rnacentral:pre_miRNA from 1 species
GGAGGGAGCACCGGAUCCUGGGCUGUGUCCCCGGCGCCCUGGGCUCUGGGGCCUGCGCUGCUGGAGUCGCGCUCCCGCCCCGCAGCCCCCU